rnacentral:misc_RNA from 1 species
GAUGAAGAACGCAGCGAAAUGCGAUACGUAAUGUGAAUUGCAGAAUUCAGUGAAUCAUCGAAUCUUUGAACGCAUAUUGCGCUCUCUGGUAUUCCGGAGAGCAUGCUUGUUUGAGUAUCAGUAAACACCUCAACUUCCAUAUCUUUUUUUGAAAUGGGAGUUGGACUUGAGUGAUCCCAACGCUUUUCCUCACCGAAAAGUGGCGGGUUACUUGAAAUGCAGGUGCAGCUGGACUUUUCUCUGAGCUAUAAGCAUAUCUAUUUAGUCUGCCUAAAAAACAGAUUAUUACCUUUGCUGCAGCUAACAUAAAGGAGAUUAGUUCUUGUGCUGACUGAUGCAGGAUUCACAAAGACAGCUUCGGCCGACUUUGUAAACUCGAUCUCAAAUCAAGUAAGACUACCCGCUGAACUUAAGCAUAUCAAUAAGCGGAGA